rnacentral:misc_RNA from 1 species
AGCAGCCGCGGUAAUUCCAGCUCCAAUAGCGUAUAUUAAAGUUGUUGCAGUUAAAAAGCUCGUAGUUGAAUUUCGGGAUCAGUUGAUCGGUCGUGCCUCGGUACGUACUGGUCAAAUUGAUUCCUACCUUCUGACGAACCACGAUGUCAUUAAUUUGGUGUCGUGGGAAAUCAGGACUGUUACUUUGAAAAAAUUAGAGUGUUUAAAGCAGGCUCGCGCUUGAAUACAUUAGCAUGGAAUAAUGAAAUAGGACGUUUGAUUCUAUUUUGUUGGUUUCUAGGAUCGACGUAGUGAUUAAUAGGGAUAGUUGGGGGCAUUAGUAUUCAAUUGUCAGAGGUGAAAUUCUUGGAUUUAUUGAGGACUAACUACUGCGAAAGCAUUUGCCAAGGAUGUUUUCAUUAAUCAAGAACGAAAGUUAGGGGAUCGAAGACGAUCAGAUACCGUCGUAGUCUUAACCAUAAACUAUGCCGACUAGGGAUCGGAUGAUGUUAAUUUUUUAAUGACUCAUUCGGCGCCUUAC